AUUAAGGGGGGGGGGGGUUAAUUGUCAUUUUCUCCAUACAUUUCAACAAUCAGAAAUAUCCCUUCUGGCUGAGAAAUGGAAAACCAUUUCUUUUAUCACUACAAUAACAAUACUUCUUGACUAGUCAGAAAGAGAACCUACUCUAUGCACUGGGUGGGUAGUCAGCCUCCAGGACAGUGGUGAAAACUGUUACCUCUGUUCUCUUUUAUUUUGUUUACUAAAGGUGAUUCAAAGGCCCCUGAAAUCAGUGGAAAGACUCUUAAAUUUGAGCAGACUUUGAAUCAAACCAUAAAUGCCCAAUCCUGGAAUAGGGAUAAAUUCUUCAGUGGGUCAUAGGUUGAGCCCUAAUUAUGGCCACAGGUUGCUGUUUCCACUGAAGAAAACCUAAUUAGAAACUAAAAAAAAAUAAUUCAAAAUCUGGGUUGUAGACGAAAUCUGUAGUUAAUCUGAUUUGAGGGAUCCUAUGGCAAUAGUGGGUGAAUACGUAACCUUUCAGAUACUGCUCUCUUAAAAAUACACUGCAAACAGAAAUGUUGUCAAAACCUUUAAAUAUUUUUCACAGACAUCUCCAAUAAUGAAAGAUUUUAUUCCAUCCAGUUAAAUGCAGUCAUCUAAAAGAAAACAUUUUGUAUUUAUCAGUGAUGUUCACAUAGUACUAUCUGGACACUGCUUUAUAUCAGAGAAUUCAACUGCAAACUAAAUUGAAUACUUGAAAAGCACUUUCAUUUAGUCAUAUAAUUUAUAUAAAAUGCAACUCUGAAUUUUUUAUAUUUAUGAUAUUGCACUUGUAAAGUUAUUUUAAAAAUUAAUGUUAACAUUUCAAAUGUUAAUAACUUUUCAUACUUGCACAAAAUGAUCAGAAUUCCAGUACAAUCAUUUAGUGUUAUAGGUAAAGAGCAAAAGAUUUGAAAAGUUCUGUACGUGCAUGGUUUUAAGUGUAGGGUCUAACAAUCCAUUGAAAUAGCAAAGAUUUCUUUUAGAUACCUUUUUUGUGAGAAAAAUGUUUUAUUUUUAAAUUCUGUUAAAAUAUGUGCAUUGUGUUUGUCUUGAUGUUUAAAUUCUCAUUGUUAACAUAAAUAGAAAAUACUUUUCUCCAUAUGUAACAUGCCAAUAUCUUCUUAUGGAGCUACUUUAAAGACAAUAUUUACACUGAAUGGAUAUUUACUUUUUUUGUUUUCCUGAACAGAUUACAGCAUUUUUAUUUGCAAAGUGCUAUUGUGAAUUUUCUUGUGCUGCUAAUAAGCUGAUUUUCUUGGAAUCCACUUAUUUCUUAAAAUUGUUUAAUUGUGUUUUCCCCAUGUCUAAUUUAUUUCUAAAUUCUGUUUGAAAUACUCAAAUAAACUUUCCAUUUCUUUAUGAAAUUUCUCAUUGUUAAAGUCGAGAUAUAUUCAACAUUCUUAUAGGCAUACUGAGAUGUUAUAUUAAUAUGCAGCCCAUUAUUACAGAGUCCCAGUCAGGGAUCAUACCUGUAAAAUUCAGAAGCGUGUCAGACUUAAGUCUAAUGGCAAUUUUUAGUAGAAUCUAAAAUGUAUUGUGACAGUAUUUUGAACUUAUAGGUAAGUUAUAGUGAAGGAGUACAGCCCAAUGGGUAGAGCAUGUGACUGGAAUUCUGGUGUUCAGAUUUUUGUUCCCGGUUCUGGAGUUUGCCACUCAUAUACUCUUUGUCCUUGGACAGGUCACCUCCGCCAACAUUUUCAAAAAGUAUCUAAUUUGGGGUCCUUUAUUUAAGAUACUCUUUCAAGAAGUAACAAACACAACUCUAGUUGUAAUCAGCAAGAGCUGCAGCUGUGCAGGAUCUCUGAACAUUAAACACGUUUCAGAUAGGCAUCCCACACCAGAGGGCAGCUUUGAAAAUGUCAUCCUUAAGCUUCUCUCUGUAAAUGAAGAUAAGUUUAAUUCCCUAACUCUCUGAGCUGCUGUGACGAUGAAUUAAUGAAUGUCCAUAAAAGCUUUGAAAACCUUGGGUAAGAGGUGGUUGAAAAGAAAGAGUUACAACAUGCUGUAGUAAAAGAAUGCACAUAGAACCAUGCGAGAUAAGAAAUAGUGAGCAAACAGGUCCAAUAAAUCCUUUCACCAGCACCUAAUAACUCAGAGUAAAUUGGACAAGGAAAAUGCAUUACAUCUGUUCUUUUUUCUUAGUUCUUGUGUAAGCACAUUAUACAAAUGUCCAAAUUUAAUGUCAUAACUUUUGUUUAAAAACUAUAGAUGGGGCUAUGUCAUUCUAUCAGGUUUUAAACAGAAGUACUGUUAAAAUCAUGACUUUCAGCUGGAAUACUGGAAUACUGGAAUUCAUUUUGAAUGUUUCCCCCAAAAAUAAAUACAGUGUUCGUUGCUUUUAGAAUAGGGUAGAAUCCUGGUGCCAUGGAAAGUAAUCUGAGUUUAGCCAUGGGGUUAACUAGAGCCAGGAUUGCAUGUCAGAUACCCAGAAAUCAUGAUAAAACAAUGUUCACAGUGAACAGAGAAAUUCCUGUACAGUAUGCGGAGUCCACUGUGCCUACAUAGCCUAACUCCUCUGCAUGUCACCAACAAAGAAAAAAAAGGAUAGCAUGUUUUCUCCUACUAUCUAGAGCUUCAAACCAUGGUUCAAUAGGAAGAUCUCUAUCUUUAUGUAGUAUCAACUCACUAUUUUGUGGCUUGUUAUUUAUUUUGAGUUUCCUACUAUCCACCCUUUGUGGACCCCUGUGGGUCAUGAUUCCUUGGUGAGUAGCCCUGGUCCAAUCAAACUUGCUGUAUACUGAAAAUUUGAGAUCACUUAAAGUAAUGGGACAAAUUUAAUCCCUUGAAUGACCUGACUGACUUCAGUGAGGAUGCACGGGGUAUAAAUCAGAAAAGUCAGAGCAUGGUACAACAUAUUAAGAACUACAGCAACUCUUAAAUCUGAACAGUAAAUUUCCAGUGAUAGAUCUCAAAAUGUAAUGAUAAAUAAUCAUUGAACAGUGUGGUUCUCCAGGGAUUGGUUCUUUGCUCUGUUAAUGAUACACAUUUCAAUAGAGUCAAAUGUUAAGACA